rnacentral:rRNA from 1 species
AAUGGAAUAGGACCCUGUCCUCCUAUUUUCAGUUGGUUUGCCGCGAGGACCAGGGUAAUGAUUAAUAGGGAUAGUUGGGGGCAUUAAUAUUUAAUUGUCAGAGGUGAAAUUCUUGGAUUUAUGAAAGAUUAACUUCUGCGAAAGCAUCUGCCAAGGAUGUUUUCAUUAAUCAAGAACGAAAGUUAGGGGAUCGAAGACGAUCAGAUACCGUCGUAGUCUUAACCAUAAACGAUGCCGACCAGCGAUUAGGAGACGUUGAAUACAAAACACCACCAUGCGCAUUGCGGUCGUCUUUGGUGUCGCUCACAAGGCGGCACCGGGGCGGCUUAGCUCGCAUGGCACCGGUG